GUCUAUGGCCAUACUACCCUGAAUGCAUCGGACCUCAUCUGAUCUCAGAAUCUAAGCAGGGUCAGACCUGGUUAAAGUACUUGGAUGGGAAACAACUACCAUUAUAAUGA
rnacentral:rRNA from 1 species